rnacentral:rRNA from 1 species
GAUGAACGCUAGCGGCAGGCUUAAUACAUGCAAGUCGAGGGGCAGCAGCUUUGUAGCAAUACAGGGGCUGGCGACCGGCAAACGGGUGCGGAACACGUACGCAACCUUCCUUUAACUGGAAGAUAGCCCACCGAAAGGUGGAUUAAUACUCCAUAACAUAUUGAAGAGGCAUCUCUUUGAUAUUAAAGCUCCGGCGGUUAAAGAUGGGCGUGCGUCUGAUUAGGUAGUUGGCGGGGUAACGCCCACCAAGCCUUCGAUCAGUAGCUGAUGUGAGAGCAUGAUCAGCCACACGGGCACUGAGACACGGGGCCCGACUCCUACGGGAGGCAGCAGUAAGGAAUAUUGGUCAAUGGACGCAAGUCUGAACCAGCCAUGCCGCGUGGAGGAUGAAGGCCCUCUGGGUUGUAAACUUCUUUUCUUUGGGACGAAACCCCUGUUUCUACGGGGACUGACGGUACCAGAGGAAUAAGCACCGGCUAACUCCGUGCCAGCAGCCGCGGUAA